UAGCACCAUUUGAAAUCAGUAC
rnacentral:miRNA from 5 species